rnacentral:rRNA from 1 species
UCUCAAAGAUUAAGCCAUGCAUGUNUAAGUAUAAACUGCUUUAUACUGUGAAACUGCGAAUGGCUCAUUAAAUCAGUUAUAGUUUAUUUGAUGGUACUUACUUACUCGGAUACCCGUAGUAAUUCUAGAGCUAAUACGUGCGUACAUCCCGACUUCUGGAAGGGACGUAUUUAUUAGAUAAAAGGCCGACCGGGCUUGCCCGACUCGCGGUGACUCAUGAUGACUUCACGAAUCGCAUGGCCUUGCGCCGGCGAUGUUUCAUUCAAAUUUCUGCCCUAUCAACUUUUGAUGGUAGGAUAGAGGCCUACCAUGGUGGUAACGGGUGACGGAGAAUUAGGGUUCGAUUCCGGAGAGGGAGCCUGAGAAACGGCUACCACAUCCAAGGAAGGCAGCAGGCGCGCAAAUUACCCAAUCCUGAUACAGGGAGGUAGUGACAAUAAAUAACAAUACCGGGCCUUUGGUCUGGUAAUUGGAAUGAGUACAACCUAAACACCUUAACGAGGAUCAAUU